rnacentral:rRNA from 1 species
GACGAACGCUGGCGGCGUGCCUAAUACAUGCAAGUAGAACGCUGAAGGAGGAGCUUGCUUCUCUGGAUGAGUUGCGAACGGGUGAGUAACGCGUAGGUAACCUGCCUGGUAGCGGGGGAUAACUAUUGGAAACGAUAGCUAAUACCGCAUAACAGUAGAUAUUGCAUGAUAUCUGCUUAAAAGGUGCAAUUGCAUCACUACCAGAUGGACCUGCGUUGUAUUAGCUAGUUGGUGAGGUAACGGCUCACCAAGGCGACGAUACAUAGCCGACCUGAGAGGGUGAUCGGCCACACUGGGACUGAGACACGGCCCAGACUCCUACGGGAGGCAGCAGUAGGGAAUCUUCGGCAAUGGACGGAAGUCUGACCGAGCAACGCCGCGUGAGUGAAGAAGGUUUUCGGAUCGUAAAGCUCUGUUGUAAGAGAAGAACGAGUGUGAGAGUGGAAAGUUCACACUGUGACGGUAUCUACCAG